AAAACAAUGCGCACGCGCAGUGGCUUGGAGGCGGGACAACACGGCCUUUGGCCCGAGCUUCAGUGGUUAUGACAGUGUCCGCUCUAAGGGGAGAAGGAGCGUGUGACCAUUUCCAGCGGUUAACUUGCAUUCCCCAGAUAAGUUUGGAUGAGUUACAGCCCAAAUCUGCAAACUCAAUACAGCCAAAUCCUGGGAAGUAACCUUGUCCAAGCAUCCUGUACAAGUCCCAGGAAAAGAGCCUGUUGUCCCUUGGACAUGUGAGCAGUGAAUUACCACUCAUUCAGACUUUCAUGUGCAUCUGUUACUGAAGGCCAGGUUUAGAGAUACAAACCUAUUUAUUUCUAGAGGAGAGGUGAUCUGAUAACCUCUUCAGACAUCACUAUCACUAGGCAGGAAAGGGCUAAUGGUAUGACAGUGUCCUGAGGACAGUAGAGAAACUGCAAACUGCAGAAGCACCUGGUCGGUGGCCCUGGCCAGCAUCUCUCCAUAUCCUGAUUCUGUAAGACCAAGUGUUUCUGCAGAAAGAGAAGGGGCUGGUGUUUUAGAUGUGACCAGAUGUAGGGCACACUCUUAUUGCCAUGCCAGCAUUUGCUAUUCGUGAUGUUAGUAUUCAAAAAUCAAGAAACACUCUGCCUGGGCCAUUGGUGUCUACUAAUCCAUUGGAAGAGAAGACUGGAAUCCACCGUUUACUAGCUUCUUAGGCCUCAGUCCCCUCCUUUCUGCCAUAGCUGAGGACCACCUAUCCUAGAUGGCUGCUGUUAUUGUUCAAAGAAACGUCUUUAGAGCCUCAGCCCAGGAAUAGCCCAUGGCAGGCACCUGGUAAAUGUUGGUUUUCACUGUCUUCUCCCAACACUGUGAAACGUGCAGCACUCUCUGCUACUGCCUUGUGGAUUUCCACAGGCAGGAGAGUAUCCAGUGUUGAGUGGAGCUGGUAUUCUCAGAAACGAAGCCCCUUUCCUCAUUUUGUGCCAAUCUCUUCAGUCAUUUUUAUCCUAGUAGUAUAGUGCUUUGUCAAAGUCACUGCUAUCUAAUGUUAACAGUUGUUUUUGCCAGAUGACUUUUCAAAAGGUAACUUUACCAUAAUACCAGUUGAUGUGAUAAGAACAUUGCAUGUAGCCAAAUAUAUAUAUAUAUAUAUUUUUUUUUUUUUUGAGGAGUUUUUCCUCUUGUUGCCCAGGCUAGAGUGCAGUGGUGUGAUCUUGGCUCACUGCAACCUCUGCCUCCCGGGUUCAAGUGAUUCUCCUGCCUCAGCCUCCCAAGUGGCUGGAAUUACAGGCACACACCACCAUGCCCGGCUAAUUUUUUUGUAUUUUUGGUAGAGACAGGGUUUUACUAUAUGUUGGCCAUGCUGGUCUCUAAGUCCUGACCUCAGGUGAUCCGCCUGCCUCAGCCUCCCAAAGUGCUGGGAUUACAGGUGUAAGCCACCGCGCCCAGCCAAAUAUUGUCUUAUUUAUUUAUUUUAGAGACAGGAUGCCAUUUUGUUGCCCAGACUGGAAUGCAGUGGCUAUUUACAGGCAUAAUCAUAGCAUACCAUAGCCUGGGCUCAGAGGACCCUGCCACCUUAGCCUCCUGAGUAGCUGGGACAAGUGUGCACCACCAUGCCUGGCUAAUUUUUAAAUUUUUUGUAGAGAUAGAGUCUGGCUAUGUUGCCCAUGCUGGUCUAGAAUUCCUGGACUCAAGUCCUCUUCCUGUCCUCGGCCUUCCAGUGUCAGGAUUACAGGGUGAGCCACACACCCAGCCAGUGUGAAUUUUCUAAUGCUGAGUAAGUUGUGAUCCAGAAGCAAAUGUAUCUGCAAGCUGAUUUAAAUUGUAGAUUUUCUCUUCAUUGUGUAUUUUCUGAUGUUGAAUAAAGUCUGAAUAUUAAC